GCCAUGCAUGUCUAAGUAUAAGCAAUUAUACAGCGAAACUGCGAAUGGCUCAUUAAAUCAGUUAUCGUUUAUUUGAUAGUACCUUACUACAUGGAUAACCGUGGUAAUUCUAGAGCUAAUACAUGCUGAAAACCCCGACUUCGGAAGGGGUGUAUUUAUUAGAUUAAAAACCAAUGCCCUCCGGGGCUUACUGGUGAUUCAUGAUAACUUCUCGAAUCGCACGGCCUUGCGCCGGCGAUGGUUCAUUCAAAUUUCUGCCCUAUCAACUUUCGACGGCUGGGUCUUGGCCAGCCGUGGUGACAACGGGUAACGGAGGGUUAGGGCUCGACCCCGGAGAAAACGCCUGAGAAACGGCGUUUACAUCCAAGGAAGGCAGCAGGCGCGCAAAUUACCCAAUGCCGACACGGCGAGGUAGUGACGAGAAAUACUGAUACAGGGCUCUUUUGGGUCUUGUAAUUGGAAUGAGUACAAUUUAAAUCCCUUAACGAGGAACAAUUGGAGGGCAAGUCUGGUGCCAGCAGCCGCGGUAAUUCCAGCUCCAAUAGCGUAUAUUAAAGUUGUUGCAGUUAAAAAGCUCGUAGUUGAACCUUGGGCCUGGCUGGCCGGUCCGCCUCACCGCGUGCACUGGUCCGGCCGGGCCUUUCCCUCUGGGGAACCCCAUGCCCUUCACUGGGCGUGGCGGGGAACCAGGACUUUUACUUUGAAAAAAUUAGAGUGUUCAAAGCAGGCCUAUGCUCGAAUACAUUAGCAUGGAAUAAUAGAAUAGGACGUGCGGUUCUAUUUUGUUGGUUUCUAGGACCGCCGUAAUGAUUAAUAGGGACAGUCGGGGGCGUCAGUAUUCAAUUGUCAGAGGUGAAAUUCUUGGAUUUAUUGAAG
rnacentral:rRNA from 1 species